rnacentral:rRNA from 1 species
UACAGAGGGGGCAAGCGUUGUUCGGAAUUACUGGGCGUAAAGGGCGCGUAGGCGCCUUCUAAGUCGAACGUGAAAUCCCUGGGCUUAACCCAGGAACUGCGUCCGAUACUGGAAGGCUUGAAUCCGGGAGAGGGAUGCGGAAUUCCGGGUGUAGCGGUGAAAUGCGUAGAUAUCUGAAGGAACACCAGUGGCGAAGGCGGCUUUCUGGCCUAUUCUUGACGCUGAGGCGCGAAAGCUAGGGGAGCAAACGGG